rnacentral:rRNA from 1 species
CACUCCUGCGGGAGGCAGCAGUGGGGAAUUUUGGACAAUGGGCGAAAGCCUGAUCCAGCAAUGCCGCGUGUGUGAAGAAGGCCUUCGGGUUGUAAAGCACUUUUGUCCGGAAAGAAAUCCUUGGCUCUAAUACAGUCGGGGGAUGACGGUACCGGAAGAAUAAGCACCGGCUAACUACGUGCCAGCAGCCGCGGUAAUACGUAGGGUGCGAGCGUUAAUCGGAAUUACUGGGCGUAAAGCGUGCGCAGGCGGUUUGCUAAGACCGAUGUGAAAUCCCCGGGCUCAACCUGGGAACUGCAUUGGUGACUGGCAGGCUAGAGUAUGGCAGAGGGGGGUAGAAUUCCACGUGUAGCAGUGAAAUGCGUAGAGAUGUGGAGGAAUACCGAUGGCGAAGGCAGCCCCCUGGGCCAAUACUGACGCUCAUGCACGAAAGCGUGGGGAGCAAACAGGAUUAGAAACCCGGGUAGUCCC